rnacentral:piRNA from 1 species
UGAGCGUGUGUACCAGUGCAGCUGGG